UGGCUGAAAAAUGGUGAGAGAGGAUUAAAACGAAGCAGGCGAGUGACGGAGGAGUUCAUGAAUAAGCUAAGGUUCAUUUCUCGACAGAAACUUAUUUCUGCUGCCUUCAGAGAAUGGAGAGAGAGGUGGGUAGGAUUUGUUCUUGAGAUGGACAUGGAAAAGCAAGCAGGUGGGGUUUAUGACAAAUGGAAAGAGAACCAGGAGAAUAAGUUUUGUAAAGAAACGGGUGGUUAACACUCCAAGAAGUCACUGCUGCUGAAGCUGUGAUUCCUAUCCAAAUCAAAUCCAUGGUGAUGUACGGGUCUUGCAGAUCAUAAAAGCCAGAACUAGGGAACCACAUUGGAGCAUUUUAGUUCUUUAGUAUUCAAGUGCAUGCGUUCUGAAUUAGAUCACACAUCAUCUAUAUGGACAAAAAGUUAAAUAGUUUGGUUUGAUGGAUUAGUUUAAUCAAAGAUUAUGAUUCUAACAAAUAACAUUAUGUUUUGGUGUGCGUCGUGUGUGUGUGUGUGUGUGUGUGAGGGGGAGAGAGAAGGGGUUGUGUGGCUCGGAGUCAAGGGUUCAGGAAUGAGGGAGUCACCUGCUACCUUUUAGCAAGGGGGCGGAGGACGUCGUGUCGUUCCCGAAUACCCCGACAAAAACGUCAGACUCUUCCUCUUUGCGUAGAAAAAGUUAUAUCCUACUUGCUUUCUCGCUGUCACUCUCUCUCCCUCUCUCUCUCUCUCUCUCUCUCUCU
rnacentral:lncRNA from 1 species